AGUUAAAAGCAAAAAUAGCAGGAGGAAAUAAGUGGUGUUUGCUUCGAAGGACAGACUGACUGCGGAGUGUUUCUAGGGGAUGUAUGAGUUAAACCAGUGAGUUAGAGCGGUGAGAUCAGAAGGUGAGCCAUGACACUUGAAAACCACGCUGAUGUCUCGGAGUUUGGGGUGUUAAAGCCGCUUCCAGCAGCUGCACAGCCUAGCAAACCUGCAGGAGUUUGAUCUGCAAAGCCAUACGGCAUCCGUCUGUCCUGGGAGUCCCACCGGGCACCUCCUGCAGCCCUCCAGCUGGGUCAGGGCAUCAGCGGCCUACUAGCUGAUAGCAAGAAGCAAUCUACUGUGUGCCUGCAUGACGUGACUCCACUGAAUGAAUUAAGAGGUCGCGGUGACUUUUGGAGCAAUGGUCAACUGCUGGAGUUGGAGGAGGUUUGGGUUUCUGUGGGAAAGCGUGCAGUUAUGUGCAGAAACGAGCAAGAGGGAGCAGCACAGGAUCUACCACGAGGAUCUCCCAGGCUGCUGGUCUGCGUGAGGAGGAGAGGAAGGCCUGCACACACGAAGAAGGCUGUGAAGGAGAAAGACUGGGAUGCCCAACAAAGGAAAUUUCAGCUGCCAAGAGUCCCAUCAGGCACGCUAUAACUUGUGAUGAUUUGGGGCUCAAUAACACCUACAGAACAGGCCCAUUAGCAGGAUGUUGUGCAAUAUGGUGCUUGUCAUCUGUUUCAAAGACACAGUGAUGAGAUACAGCUCCAGUGUCUAAACCACAGGAAAAGUAAGAUUUGGCACCACGGAAACAGUGUCCUCCAAACUUCGGGGCUGUAUCUACAGGCUGGGGAUGAAAUCUGCCUCCAGGACUUGCAGUGACCUAACCCUGUGCUCCCCAAGAAGCAUUCCCUGCAGUUGUUGGGACCUGAGAUGUCGGCAUGGCUCUUGACCACUCCUGUGUACCCUCUGUAAUAUACUCCUCAACAGAAGCUAUUCAUGAAGUAUGCUUCUAGACCAAAGGCAUUCCAGCUUUGAACAAUGUCUUUGGGAUAACAGAGAACAGCAAACAACUUGUGAUCCAAAAGGAAAUAGCAGCACUAGCAACAAGACUGACGUUCAGCAGUGGUGGUGAUGGUCAGGAUGGAGCUAGGAUCUCAUCUGCUGCUGGGAUCCUCCACAAGGUUAUCCUAUCCUGGCCCUCCUUUGGCCAGGAUCAUUCCAGCACCAGGGAAAAACAGGCACACACACAGCCCUCUCCUGCCCAUGGCAGCCAGAGCACCUUUCAGACAUCCUGCCUCACCUGCUGACACAAUCCAUCAGUGCCCACUGAAAUCAAAUGCAGCUAAUUGGAAAGCGAUGACAGCCCAGGGACUGCUGGAUUUGCAUGCUAAUUCCUCUAUUUUGGAGUCACACAGCCAAGCUACAGGCUGAAUACUUUCUUGAGAAAAUCAGGAUGCCUGUAUGGGAGGAGCAGGACAAGUGUUCAUGCACAAUUCCCAGCCUUGCAGCAGCAGGUUCAAAAUGCCAGCUGUACUACCUGGACAUCCAUCUGAGAUGCAAGUCCUUCCCAAGCAUAAUUUCCUAUGUGUCUCAAGCCAAAGGCUUUGCAGCUUUCAGCCACUGAGAACUCAGAGACAGCUUUUUAGCUGGACAAUCCCAGAACUAACCACAAUGUUGGUGUUCUGCUUCUUCCAGUUUGUCUUGAUGGGCCUGAAGUCAGCUUCUUUCUUGUGGAAAUAAAGAAUGUCACCAUGAAUGUCCAUGGGCAAACUGGAUAAGAAAGAGUGUCACAAUGCAGGACAACCUAGGAGAUGACAGGUAUUUCCAGGCAUAGCAAUGAUGAGAUCAAAUUCCCCUCAACCUGCCUUGUUUGCUGAUCUUUUAAUCAGAUUCAACUUCACUGCAGCUAUAGCACAAGGUUCCCUGACAAUGUGUGACAGCAUGUGACAGAAAAAUAUUUUGAUUUUUUUUCUUUUGACCAUUUGAUGCUAUUUCAGAUAUAUCUGAAGCCCCAGCAGCACCUGUUAAAUCUGCUGAACUAUUUUAGCGGUGGUUUUUAAAUGUGCAUAAAUGAACUGGAGGGUUUGGGACUUGUGUUCAUAUGCGUGUAGUGGAAUCCAAACAGGAAAGCUGGGAAAUGAUCUAAACCUUUUGAGGUUAACGUGCCAUGAAAGAGCAUCAAUGACCGAAGAGGACAUUAUUAAAAAGCAGCCAACCUAGCUCAAAAAGAACCACUGUGUGAAGCAAGAGCCUGCAGAACAACACCCAGGGCUGUUUGUGAUCCCACAGGGAUGUGUAUUUCAUCCCCUGUCUUCAUCUCUCCAAAUUUCCUCUGAACUGCUUCUGAGCCACAUUCUUGAAAAAGAAAAACACCAGCAACUACUGAAUGCUUCUUAUCAACCUUUUCCCUGCAAUCUGUUUCAUAUUCCUCUCACACCCGUGUUCUCACAGUGUCUUGGGGAAAUGCUCGGAUCAAAGAUAAGAGAGAACAAGGAAAGGAAUGAAGCAAGAGACAAACAACAAAACAAAAAACACCCCCCAAACUUUUUGACUAAACUCCUCUGCGAGUCAUGUGCAUGAUUACAGCAAAGUUAAAACUGCCUUCUUCUUCGCCAGUACUUAAUUCCUGCUUUUAAAAUCAGGCUCCCUUUGAUCUUGAGGAUUGAAAUGAUCUGGAAAUGAAACAGCCAUUGCUUUGCAGAAAAUCUGGAUAGGGUCCCAGACAUGGCUUUUACCUGGAAAGCUUCCAAAAUAGGAUGAAAUCUCUCUAGUUUCAGAACAAAUUGCAAGAUUUUUUUUCUCUAUGUCUAGUCCAACUGUGGAACUCCAGCCCUGAUGUCUGCUAGUUCCCAAAGUGCAGAUGCAAUAACCUCUAAGGUGAACUGUGAGAGUUAUUCCUCCAUUUUCUACCCUCUGCCUCUCCUCUGAGGAUCAAGGGCUGGGAGAAUUUUAUUAAAGCAAAGGCUUAAAUUUCUGGGCAAAUUUAAGCUGAGGAGACAGUUGGCUAUAACCCAGGCUAGGUCCAGCCACAUGAGGGUUGGAAAGGACAAAGGACCAGGAGCAUUUGUAACAUCUGGAUCUUGUUGCAUGCACAGAAAUAUCUGCCUGGCUUUGUAUGACCUGGUCUCACAGCCAAAAGGGCUGAGAAAUGUGGUUAAGAGACACUGAAGCUGGCUUUGCCCUAGCAAAUAAGUCCCACUGAGAAAGCAAGCACAUCAAUAUUUCUUUGAGUGUGUUUCUUUUAGUUAAUAUAUUUCCAUAUGUUGCAUGAA